GAUGAACGCUGGCGGCGUGCUUAACACAUGCAAGUCGAACGGAAAGGCCAGUGCUUGCACUGGUACUCGAGUGGCGAACGGGUGAGUAACACGUGGGUGAUCUGCCCUGUACUUCGGGAUAAGCUUGGGAAACUGGGUCUAAUACCGGAUAGGACAACUUUUUGGAUAUUGUUGUGGAAAGCUUUUGCGGUAUGGGAUGAGCUCGCGGCCUAUCAGCUUGUUGGUGGGGUAAUGGCCUACCAAGGCGUCGACGGGUAGCCGGCCUGAGAGGGUGUACGGCCACAUUGGGACUGAGAUACGGCCCAGACUCCUACGGGAGGCAGCAGUGGGGAAUAUUGCACAAUGGGCGCAAGCCUGAUGCAGCGACGCCGCGUGGGGGAUGAAGGCCUUCGGGUUGUAAACUCCUUUCGCUAGGGACGAAGCGCAAGUGACGGUACCUGGAGAAGAAGCACCGGCUAACUACGUG
rnacentral:rRNA from 1 species